rnacentral:rRNA from 1 species
UACGUAGGGUGCGAGCGUUGUCCGGAAUUAUUGGGCGUAAAGGGCUCGUAGGCGGUUUGUCACGCCGGGAGUGAAAACUCGGGGCUUAACUCCGAGCCUGCUUCCGAUACGGGCUGACUAGAGGUAUGCAGGGGAGAGCGGAAUUCCUGGUGUAGCGGUGAAAUGCGCAGAUAUCAGGAGGAACACCGGUGGCGAAGGCGGUUCUCUGGGCAUUACCUGACGCUGAGGAGCGAAAGUGUGGGGAGCGAACAGG